rnacentral:rRNA from 1 species
UACGGAGGGUGCGAGCGUUGUCCGGAAUCACUGGGCGUAAAGGGCGCGUAGGCGGCCUGAUAAGUAGGAGGUGAAAUCCUGCGGCUUAACCGCAGGGCUGCCUUCUAAACUGUCAGGCUAGAGCACGGUAGAGGCAGAUGGAAUUCCCGGUGUAGCGGUGGAAUGCGUAGAGAUCGGGAAGAACAUCAGUGGCGAAGGCGGUCUGCUGGGCCGUUGCUGACGCUGAGGCGCGAAAGCCAGGGGAGCGAAUGGG